GUAGGGAAUAUUGGGCAAUGGAAGGAAUUCUGACCCAGCCAUGCCGCGUGCAGGAAUACAGUCCUAUGGACUUUAAACUGCUUUUAUUAUAGAGUAACCUGGGGGACGUGUCCCCCACUGCAAGUAUAUAAUGAAUAAGCAUCGGCUAACUCCGUGCCAGCAGCCGCGGUAAUACGGGGGAUGCAAGCGUUAUCCGGAUUUAUUGGGUUUAAAGGGUGCGCAGGCUGAUCGGUAAGUCAUGGGUGAAAAGUCACUGCUUAACAGUGAUCGUGCCUAUGAUACUGCCGGACUAGAGUUUAAGAGGUGUAACUGGAAUGUGAUGUGUAGCGGUGAAAUGCUUAGAUAUGUCACAGAACGCCAAUCGUGAAGACAGGUUACAAACUUAAUACUGACGCUCAUGCACGAAAGCGUGGGGAUCAAACAGGAUUAGAAACCCGUGUAGUCC
rnacentral:rRNA from 1 species